UUAACAUACCUCCAAUGUUUUACCUAGGACACAGAGAUAAAUAUAUAAGCAUCGUAUACCGUCUAAUGUUGUGGAAAACUCUUAAUUAAAAGAUGUAUUAAGAGAUACUUGACAAGAAUUGUAUCCUGAUAAAACAAUGUCUGAAACUAGGCACAACAUCAAGAAUUGUUAGGACUGCCUAAGGUAGCAAUUGACAUUGAUGCACUUUGCUUUGGAUUAUCCUCAGUUGUUAUGAUCAAAGAACUGUGACAUCACAAAUUGCAUUUGCACAAGGACAAACUCCAACUUUAUUCUUAAAUCAUGGAGAAUUGCUAAAACUUGCAGUAGUGCUUCCACCACAUGGUACGACAGUUCUUAAGAAGACUAUGGAACGACACAUGUGUUUAUGUUUUGUAAGAGAAAACAUCCAGAAGGUAAUAAAUUGCAAGCAUAUUCGGA